rnacentral:lncRNA from 1 species
UUUAGGGCCUGUUUGUAUGCUCAGUAAAAAAUUUUUACGAAAUUUAUAAACUGUAAUUUUUAUCGAGAUAAAAUAGAAAAUUCUGCAACUCUAAAAAAUUCCACGGAUUCAAUUUUUAAACUAUUUGGAUGCUUAUUGUGCAAUUUCACAGAAUUUUUUUAAAUUUUAAAAUUAAAAUUAAAAUUAAAAUUUUAAAAUUUCAAUAAAAAUUUAAAAUUUAAAAUUUAAAAUUUGAUAUAUGAAAUGUGAAAUAUUAAAUUUUAAAUUUUUAUAUUUGAAAUAUAAAAUUUAAAAUUUAAAAAUUUAAAAUUUAAAAUAUAAAAAAUUAAAUUUAAUAUUUUUAAAUAAAAAAUUUGAAAUUUGAAAUUUAAAAUUUAGAAUUUUAAAUUUUAAAUUUUAAAUUUAAAAAAUAAAUUUAAAAUUAAAAGUUUAAAAUUUGAAAUUUGAACUAUGAGAUUUGAAAUUUGAAAUUUGAAAUUUGAAAUUUGAAAUUUAAAUUUUAAAAUAUAAAAGUUAAAAUUUAAAAUUUAAAGUUUAAAAUUUAAAUUUAAAAUUUAAAAUUUAAAAUUUUAUUUAAAAUUUAAAAUUUAAAAUUUAAAAUUUAAAAUUUAAAAUGAAAAUUUUAAAUAUAAAAAAAUUAAAUUUUAUAAUUUAAAAUUUAAAAUCUAUAUUGAAACUUAAAAUUUUAUGUGGAAAUUUAAAAGUUAGAUCUUAUACAUUUUUUGAAUAAAGGAGCUUAAGAAUGAUGGUAUUCUUUUUCUUUGUUUAGAAUAGAUUAUAUUUUUACAUCAUUUUUAAGAGUGUAGUUUAACUAUACUUCAAAAAUUAUGUUAUUUUUUCUUCCAAAUAUGUAAUAGGAUAUUUUUUCUACCGACGUAGUAUAAUUUAACUAUUCUAUAUUUUCAGAAGUAUCGAAAC